AAAGUUAGUGGCGGACGGGUGAGUAACGCGUGAAUAACCUGCCCUGUACCGGGGGACAACAGUUGGAAACGGCUGCUAAUACCGCAUAAGCGCACGGUUCCGCAUGGAACAGUGUGAAAAACUCCGGUGGUACAGGAUGGAUUCGCGUCUGAUUAGCCAGUUGGUGGGGUAACGGCCUACCAAAGCAACGAUCAGUAGCCGGCCUGAGAGGGUGAACGGCCACAUUGGGACUGAGACACGGCCCAAACUCC
rnacentral:rRNA from 1 species